GAUGAACGCUGGCGGCGUGCCUAAUACAUGCAAGUCGAGCGAACAGACGAGGAGCUUGCUCCUCUGACGUUAGCGGCGGACGGGUGAGUAACACGUGGAUAACCUACCUAUAAGACUGGGAUAACUUCGGGAAACCGGAGCUAAUACCGGAUAAUAUAUUGAACCGCAUGGUUCAAUAGUGAAAGACGGUUUUGCUGUCACUUAUAGAUGGAUCCGCGCCGCAUUAGCUAGUUGGUAAGGUAACGGCUUACCAAGGCGACGAUGCGUAGCCGACCUGAGAGGGUGAUCGGCCAAACUGGAACGGAGACACGGUCCAGACUCCUACGGGAGGCAGCAGUAGGGAAUCUUCCGCAAUGGGCGAAAGCCUGACGGAGCAACGCCGCGUGAGUGAUGAAGGUCUUCGGAUCGUAAAACUCUGUUAUUAGGGAAGAACAAAUGUGUAAGUAACUAUGCACGUCUUGACGGUACCUAAUCAGAAAGCCACGGCUAACUACGUG
rnacentral:rRNA from 1 species